rnacentral:rRNA from 1 species
CGGGUGAGGAACGCGUAGGUAAUCUACCCUUUGGCGGGGGACAACAUUCCGAAAGGAAUGCUAAUACCGCGUAAGACCACGUUCACUACGGUGAGAGUGGUAAAAGGUGCCUCAAAGCACCACCAAAGGAUGAGCCUGCGUCCCAUCAGCUUGUUGGUAAGGUAAUGGCUUACCAAGGCUAAGACGGGUAGCUGGUCUGAGAGGAUGAUCAGCCACACUGGCGCUGGAACACGGGCCAG